GAUGAAGAACGUAGCGAAAUGCGAUACUUGGUGUGAAUUGCAGAAUCCCGUGAACCAUCGACUCUUUGAACGCAAGUUGCGCCCGAAGCCAUUAGGCCGAGGGCACGCCUGCCUGGGUGUCACACACCGUUACCCUCGCGCCAACGUCCAUCGUUGGCCGCGGCGCGGGGCGUGCGCUGACCUCCCGCGAGCGGGGUCUCGUGGUUGGUUGAAAAUCGAGUUCGCGGUCGAGGGUGCCGUGAUGAAAUGGUGGAUGGGCGACGCCCGAGGCCAAUCACGCGCGACUCUGUCCAGCUCGGACUCCUGGACCCCUUCGGCGUCUCCGGACGCUCUUUGGCGAGACCUCAGGUCAGGCGGGGCUACCCGCUGAGUUUAAGCAUAUCAAUAAGCGGAGGA
rnacentral:misc_RNA from 1 species